CAUGGCUCAGGAUGAACGCUAGCGGGAGGCCUAAUACAUGCAAGUCGAACGGGUGAAUUAGCUUCGGUUGGUUCACUAGUGGCGCACGGGUGAGUAACGCGUACGCAAUCUGCCCUAUGCUGGGGAAUAGCCCUGGGAAACUGGGAGUAUACGCCAUAGUUCUACGGAUCUGCAUGGAUUUGUAGAUAAAGCUGCGGCGGCAUAGGAUGAGCGUGCGUCUGAUUAGGUAGUUGGUGAGGUAACGGCUCACCAAGCCGACGAUCAGUAAGGGGCGUGAGAGCGUGGCCCCUCACACGGGUACUGAGACACGGACCCGACUCCUACGGGAGGCAGCAGUAAGGAAUAUUGGACAAUGGGCGCAAGCCUGAUCCAGCCAUCCCGCGUGCUUGAUGAAGGCCCUCUGGGUUGUAAAGAGCUUUAGUCUGGGAAGAAACCGUUUUCUGCGGAAGACGCUGACGGUACCAGAAGAAUAAGCACCGGCUAACUCCGUG
rnacentral:rRNA from 1 species